UACGUAGGGGGCAAGCGUUGUCCGGAUUUAUUGGGCGUAAAGAGCGUGUAGGCGGCUAGAUAGGUCUGCUGUGAAAACUCGAGGCUCAACCUCGAGAUGUCGGCGGAAACCGUCUGGCUAGAGUCCGGAAGAGGAGAGUGGAAUUCCUGGUGUAGCGGUGAAAUGCGCAGAUAUCAGGAAGAACACCGGUGGCGAAGGCGGAUCUCUGGGCCGUAACUGACGCUGAGGAGCGAAAGCAUGGGGAGCGAACAGG
rnacentral:rRNA from 1 species